UUCCGGAGACCCUGGUGUUGCAGUCUCCACAAGUUGUCACUACAGGGAGCAGUGAUCAGGAUUGUUUUGACCGAUCAGAACAGACUCUAAGCCAACAAGAAAAUCAGGGUAAGAAGCCACAAGAAUCAUGCUCUAAUCAAACAAUACGAGAAAGGAAUGCUGUGUACAUCAAUGACAUGGUGACUGUGGCAACCCAGACUAACAGUGGCCAGGAUUCACCUGUUAAAAAGAGGAAUGAGUUUUUCAAUCCCAUGCUGAAUGAAUACCAGAAGCUGGCUGUGAGGCGGGUUCUGAGUGGAGAAUGCCGGCCAACGCCAUAUAUUCUCUUUGGGCCCCCGGGGACAGGCAAGACUGUAACCGUCAUAGAAGCCAUUUUACAGGU